rnacentral:rRNA from 1 species
UACGGGGGGGGCAAGCGUUGUUCGGAAUUAUUGGGCGUAAAGGGCUCGUAGGCGGUCUGUCGCGUCGGGAGUGAAAACUCAGGGCUUAACCCUGAGCCUGCUUCCGAUACGGGCAGACUAGAGGUAUGCAGGGGAGAACGGAAUUCCUGGUGUAGCGGUGGAAUGCGCAGAUAUCAGGAGGAACACCGGUGGCGAAGGCGGUUCUCUGGGCAUUACCUGACGCUGAGGAGCGAAAGUGUGGGGAGCGAACAGG